UUUUGAAGCGAGUUAUGCGCCUUUGAAGUUGGAGGUGAGACGCAGACAGCGAGACAGUCGUUUUCUCUGCCGCCUCUCACUCUCUCAUCUCCAACUUGAAAGGCGCAUAACUCGCUUCAAAA
rnacentral:sRNA from 13 species